UUGGUCUACAGCAGUAGUAAGAAAACCCUUCAUCGCAAAGUACUGAGACAACCAGCUAAUCUCAGUUAGCCUGGUAAACAAGGAAAUCAGAACUAAAGAAGACAGGCUGAGGAGAAGAAAGAAAAAGAACUCUCAGGACCCAAGCAUCCAGAUUCUUUAAGGGCCAGUUAGCCCCUUCCUAAGACACUCCCGUGACCCUCCUCUCCUCUCCGGGACUCACCAUCAUUUUACCAGACUGUGUUGACACCUGAUUGACUUAGCCUGAAACAGCUCGGAACUCCUGAGCUCAAGAGAGUCACCAGCCUCAGCCUGGGAUUAUAGAUAUAUCUGAAGGUUUUCCUGAUUUCAAAGUGAUGCGGCUUCCCUUUGAAACCAUUUGGAAUUUGCUUUGGACCACAGGCAUAAAACUUCUUGAUUCCCCUCUGUUGGUCUCUAACGUGUCCCUUGGUGUGUUUGCAGAAUAUGGAGGGCCUGGGUGUAGUCAUCUUAACUCCUGGCUUGGCAAUGAGGUGGCUAGGUGUGAGAUUCCAGCUCUAAGCUCAUAGUCAGCUUGUGGUCUUGAUGGGUUCUUGCCCAGGGUCUCUGGAUGCUAAAACAAACAAAACUCCCCCAAACUCGCCAACUUCCAAAAGCUUGUCCUACCCCUUCCCCCCACCUGGGCCCCAUCUUACUGGAAGAUCAUUAGUAAAAAUCAGUGCACUCUUCAGAGGAAAACUGACUGGGUAAAAUCAGGGUACCACUUCCAUUUUCUAGAGCUGGAAUUUGGACAGAAAGGGCUCAGUCUUGGUUUCUGUCUUGCUUUGGUAUCUUCAUCCCUUAGCACAAUGAUUAGCAUACCCUAAAUGCUUUAUAAAUAUUAACUCUGCUUUGGAUCCCCUUUUCUUAAAGUUCUUAAUUUCUUUUUGAACUUGGUUUUAUUUUCUGAAUGCUGUCUAGGGCCGGCCUGGUAGGCCCUCAGCAGGUAUCAGAAGAGAAGAGAAGACCCUCGAGAAUUAGGACCACAAAGUUGGGUAUGGGAAAAGAAUUUUAAAGGCAGGUACAAGGCAAGUGAUUCAACUUUGACCAGCUGUUAUAAUACCUAAAAUGGACAGCCUUUUUCUUCCUUGAAGGAGUUGCCUGGGCAUGGGCACUGGAGCCCUGCAGGAAGGACAGAAAUGGGAACAUGAUUGGAAAACUAAAAGAAAAAAAAAGAAAAAGGGAAAGUAUAGUCAAAGCAAGGUUGGGUGGGAUUUUUUUUUUUGUUUAAUGUUUAGAAAACUAAAGAAAAGGAAAUCAAUUAUGGGGCCUACCUGAAUUUUAUUUCCUCACCCAAAACCAAAUUACUCAGCAAACUUAUCGCUUGCUAUUGCAGGCUUCAGUAUUAAAGAAAACAAUCAGGCGGGCAGGAUUAAUCUCUGACAGCUGCCUUAUCUUUAACUUGCACCUUUGUUAUUUUCUGAUGAGCUUCUCUUUUUCCGCCACCACGUUGUACCAUACCUCACUGGUUCUUUUCACUUUAUCAUCAGGCUGGAGCGGGGGACCUUUCAGUUUAUUAAAAAACCUUUAUUUGUGAAGAACAAAGAAGGGGGAAAAAGGCAAACAAUGAGGUCAGACAAUCUCCUUCCUGCCAGGACUCACUCACCUGUUAUUGAGAGUGUUAUCAGUUAGGGGGGACUUGCAUCAUUGAAAAUGAGGCUCUGACAGGCUACUCCGUUCAACAUUCACACACAAACGCACACUCACACACAGACACAGACACACGCAGGCACAUGCCAGACAAACCCCAAACCUUGACUGACGUUCGCUCACCUCUAGACAAGGUCCUUGGUUAUCAAAGCGGCAGGGUUUUCUUUUGUUUCUGGGCUUUUUUAAAUGCUUUUUUCCAUCUUCAUGCCCUCCUCCCUCCUCUCCCUUAAGAGAGAAACUAACAGGUUCUGUGAGAAGGAGAAAGCAAAUGGGAGCAUCGGUGUCACCCAACUACAUCCCUGUGCAAGGUGGGAGCAAUUUGAUUGGGCACUG